CCUACGGGCGGCAGCAGUGAGGAAUAUUGGUCAAUGGACGCAAGUCUGAACCAGCCAUGCCGCGUUCAGGAAGAAGGUGCUAUGAGUUGUAAACUUCUUUUGUACGAGGGUAAAGGCAGAGAAGUGUAUCGGUCGGAAAGUAUCGUACGAACAAGGAUCGGCUAACUCCGUGCCAGCAGCCGCGGUAAUACGGAGGAUUCAAGCGUUAUCCGGAUUUAUUGGGUUUACAGGGUGCGUAGGCGGUCCGGUAAGUUAGAGGUGAAAUCCCGAGGCUCAACUUCGGAAUUGCCUCUGAUACUGUUCGGCUAGAGAGUAGUUGAGGUAGGCGGAAUGUAUGGUGUAGCGGUGAAAUGCAUAGAGAUCAUACAGAACACCGAUUGCGAAGGCAGCUUACCAAGCUAAUUCUGACGUUGAGGCACGAAAGCGUGGGGAGCAAACAGGAUUAGAUACCCUAGUAGUC
rnacentral:rRNA from 1 species